rnacentral:misc_RNA from 1 species
AAGUCGUAACAAGGUAUCCGUAGGUGAACCUGCGGAUGGAUCAUUAUAGGGUGUUGGGUAAUUGUGAGUGGUUUUAUUAUUAGUAGUUUGAGCGGUGUUGGUUGGGAUGCUUGCAGGAUUGCCAAGCAGGAUUGCCAAGCAAGACAGCCAACAUUGCCCACGUUAAACUCUAUAAAUCUAAACAAUAAAAUACAACAAAAACAACUUUUAGCAACGGAUCUCUUGGCUCUC